GGGCCCAUAGCUCAGUUGGCUAGAGCACUACGCUGGCAGCGUAGGGGUCAGGGGUUCGAGUCCCCUUGGGUCCA
rnacentral:tRNA from 1 species